rfam:Nitrospirae bacterium GWC2_57_9 gwc2_scaffold_22491, whole genome shotgun sequence.
GGGCCGUUAGCUCAGUUGGUAGAGCAGCUGACUCUUAAUCAGCGGGUCGAAGGUUCGACUCCUUCACGGCUCA